AAUCAUGCUGAAUGGAAAUUUCUGAUU
rnacentral:misc_RNA from 1 species